rnacentral:rRNA from 1 species
CCUACGGGUGGCAGCAGUGAGGAAUAUUGGUCAAUGGACGAGAGUCUGAACCAGCCAAGUAGCGUGAAGGAUGACUGCCCUAUGGGUUGUAAACUUCUUUUAUAUGGGAAUAAAAUGUUCCACGUGUGGGAUUUUGUAUGUACCAUAUGAAUAAGGAUCGGCUAACUCCGUGCCAGCAGCCGCGGUAAUACGGAGGAUCCGAGCGUUAUCCGGAUUUAUUGGGUUUAAAGGGAGCGUAGGGGGUUUGUUAAGUCAGUUGUGAAAGUUCGGGGCUCAACCGUAGAAUUGCAGUUGAAACUGGCAGUCGUGAGUACAGGAGAGGUGGGCGGAAUGCGUGGUGUAGCGGUGAAAUGCUUAGAUAUCACGCAGAACUCCGAUUGCGAAGGCAGCUCACUGGACUGCAACUGACACUGAGGCUCGAAAGUGUGGGUAUCAAACAGGAUUAGAUACCCCUGUAGUC